rnacentral:rRNA from 1 species
UUUGUUCCCUAAAUAGGGACUUGUAUGAACGGCCACACGAGGGCUUUACUGUCUCUUACUUCCAAUCCGUGAAAUUGACCUUCCCGUGAAGAGGCGGGAAUAUAAUAAUAAGACGAGAAGACCCUAUGGAGCUUUAAUUAAUUGACCCAAAGAGACCCAUUAAUUUCAACCGACAGGAAUAACAAACCUCUAUAUGGGCCAACAAUUUAGGUUGGGGUGACCUCGGAGAACAGAACAACCUCCGAGUGAUUUAAAUCAAGACUAACCAGUCAAAAGUAUUACAUCACUAAUUGAUCCAAAAACUUGAUCAACGGAACAAGUUACCCUAGGGAUAACAGCGCAAUCCUAUUUUAGAGUCCAUAUCGACAAUAGGGUUUACGAC